UUUUUUUUGUUUUUGUUUUUUUUUUAAUGAAAGGGAUGCCUAGGAGAAAACCCAUGUUAUCCUAAGUGAGAUUAUGAGUUUCUAGACACAAACCAAAAGCAUAAUCCAUGAAAAACAACUGAUGCCGGAUUUUAUUAAAACUUAAAACUUAUGCUUGCAAAAGAUGCCAUUAAGGCUAUAGAAAGAUAACCCAUAGACUGAAAAAAAAUUUACGAAACACCCACCUGAUAAUACAUAUCUGAUAAAAUACUUUUGUCCAAAGUAUAUAAUGAACUCUUAAAACUCAACAAUAAGAAACAAGCUAAUUCCAAAUGGACUAUCACAUCACCAAAGAAAAUAAAAACAUGAAAAUGCUCAACAUCAUUUUGCAUUAGGGAAAUGCAAAUUACAAUGAGAUACUACUAUACAUCCACUAGAAUGGAUAAAACCUAAACACAACACCAACUGCUGAUGAAUAACUCUAUAAGUACCAUUUUGCAUUCAUGCAAAAUGAAUGGUAACCAUAAAUGGUACUUUGGAAGACAGUUUGGCAGUCUCUUAUGAAGCUAAACAUAGUUUUGCCAUAUGAUCUAGCAAUUGUACUCCCAAGUAUUUACUCAGUGGAUUUGAAAACCAAUGUUCACACAAAAACCUGAAUGUAAAUGUUCAUGGUAGCUGUACUCAUAAUAAUUCAAAACUAGAAGCAACUAAAAUGCCCCUUAAUGGGUGAAUAGAUCUUAAAACAGUGGUACUUUUAUGCAGUGAAAUGUUAUUCUGUGAUAAAAAGAAAUGAGUUAUGAAGCCAUGAAAAGACAUGGAGAAAUCUUGAAAGCAUAUUGGUAAGUGAACGAAACCAGUCAGAAUGGUUACAUGCCGUAUGAUUCGAAUUAUAUGCCAUUCUAAAAAAAAGAAAAAAGCAAAACUAUAGGGACAAUAAUAAAGAUGAGUGGCUGGAGGUUUGCAGGGCAUGGGGGUUGAGGAAUAUGGUUUAAUGGCUGAAGCACAGAGGAUUUUUUAGGUGGUGAAACUAUUCUGUAUGAUACUGUAUUUGUGGAUUCAUGACACUAUACAUUUGUCAAAACCCAUAUAACUUCACAGCACAAAGAGUGUACCUUAACAUUUGCAAAGUUUAGAAGUCAUUUAUGAAGUAUGAAAUCCUAGGAUGGACUACAGUGUGACAAAAUCAUGUAACCAUAUUAUACAAGUAUGAAACAACUUCACUGAAGGGGACAGUGCAGAAAAGACAGUAACCUAAGUAACUCUGGAGAUGAGUGGAUACUGUGAGACUAAUGCAAAAGGAACUAUACAUAAAAGUGCUCUACUCAAGUUGGUAAAGUCGUUUGCCAUAGGAGUACAGUUAGCAAUUCUGAAACACUGAACAUAUAUACUGGAAUUGAAGAGUUAAGGAAAUGGAUAGAGGAUGGUGGGAGCCAGGCUUCUCACUCUCAGAACAAGGGAUUGCAACAAGCAGGCAACCUGGGUGACUCAGCGGUUUAGCACUGCCUUCCUCCCAGGGCGUGAUCCUGAAGACCCGGGAUCCAGUCCCGAGUCGGGCUCCCUGUUGAAAGACUGGCCCCUUCAGGGGCUGGUGAGCUGUCCAAAUCAAUGUCCAAGGACAUAGAGCCAACUCAGGCAUCUUCUAGGUUGGUCCUUAUUUUCAAAGGCUGUGUUCUGUCGCUGGAAUGUGGUGGACGGUGGUGAAGUGGCAGCGUAGGUCUCUGGGCAGAUGGAGGCCUUGCAGUCGGCAGGGCAGGGCAGGGCUGUGCGUGGUCUGACCAGUUUGUAACAGGGGCCUGCCCUAUAGCUGGGGCUCAGGACACAGUCCAAAUCAGCAGGGGAGGGCCCCGGGGCUGGCCAGAGUGGGUGGCGGCGCGCUUCCGAGCGAGGCCCCAGCAGCAGGUAACCGGAACAAAGGCAAGCACUACAGGGGGAUGACGGAGAGAACCGGAGAGCUGGGGGUAGGGAAGGGGAUCGGAGGGCGGAAGGGCGCUGGGCGGCUCCGGGCCGGGCAGGAGAGGCGGGGGAGAGGAUGGCGGCGUGCAGGGCCCUCCCCCCUGGGCCCGAGGGUCUCCCGGCCUAGUAAUCAUCUUCCUCGUCGUCGUCGUCGUCGUCUUCUUCGUCGUCAUCCCAGCCAAAACACUGUUUCAUCUCAUCGAGGAAGGCCCGGUAAUCACCUAGGAUGGGGCUAUCCAUCUCAAUGUAGGGCACCACCCACUCCUCGGCUUCCCCGGUGAGCAGGCUGAUUAGGAAUGCCACCUUCAUGGCGUCGUUGCAGAAUCGGUUCUCGUUGACGAGCAUGUAAGACGCCGUCUGCACGAUAAACUCGGGGAGCCGGGAGCUCUCGCCGCUAAACGUUUCGGGGAAGGGCACCGGGCAGCUCGGCGGACGUACCUGGCGCAGCAGGGUGGCCCUCUCGCACACCAGCAGCCGCAGCUGUUCCAUGAGCUGGCUGUUCUCGAUGCUCAGGGCGCGGUGCCGCAUCAGGAGCGCGUGCAGCAGCAGCACCAGCUCGUCCACCAUGGCGAACGGCUUGCAAGCGCAGGGCUGGGCUCGGCUCAGGUGCGCACGGAGGCCUCGCAGGAAGUGCGUGU
rnacentral:lncRNA from 1 species